rnacentral:tRNA from 1 species
GCCCCGAGGUGAUUUUCAUGUUAAAUUGCAAGUUUAAGGGAGCAGUUUUAAAUUUCUGCCGGGGCUUC